AUCGAACGCUGGCGGCAGGCCUAACACAUGCAAGUCGAGCGGAAGAAGCGAGCUUGCUCCUGGACUCAGCGGCGGCCGGGUGAGUCAUGCCCUGGAAUUUGCCUGGUCGUGGGGGAUGACGUCCGGAAACGGGCGCUAAUACCGCAUCCGUCCUGUGGGAGCAUGUGGGGGAUCUUCGGACCUCUCGCUAUCAGAUGAGCCUAGGUCGGAUUAGCUAGUUGGUGGGGUAAAUGGCUACCAAGGCGAGUAUGCGUAACUGGUCUGAGAGGCUGAUCAGUCACAUGGGAACUGAGGCAGGGUCCAGACACCGGCGGGAGGCAGCAGUGGGGAAUAGUGGGCAAUGGGGGAGAGCCUGAUCCAGGCAUGCCGGGGGUGGGAAGAAGGUGCUCGGAUGGGAAAGCACUGUAAGGUGUGGGGAAGGGCAGUAAGUUAAUACCUUGCGGUAUUGACGUUACCGGCAGAAUAAGCACCGGCUAACUUCGUG
rnacentral:rRNA from 1 species